UACGUAGGGUGCAAGCGUUGUCCGGAAUUAUUGGGCGUAAAGAGCUCGUAGGCGGUCUGUCGCGUCUGCUGUGAAAACUCAGGGCUUAACCCUGAGCCUGCAGUGGGUACGGGCAGACUAGAGUGCGGUAGGGGAGACUGGAAUUCCUGGUGUAGCGGUGAAAUGCGCAGAUAUCAGGAGGAACACCGGUGGCGAAGGCGGGUCUCUGGGCCGUAACUGACGCUGAGGAGCGAAAGCAUGGGGAGCGAACAGG
rnacentral:rRNA from 1 species